GGAACUGAAGCUGCUGCUUGCGGGGCAACACAAACACCCCUCGACUGCGGUGAGUUUCACCGCGGCGAGUUCACCGCGGUGAACCUGUCGCGGUGAAACUCUUUGCGGUGAAACUCUUCGCGGUUAAACUCUCCGCGGUGAAUCUGAACCCACACCGUCUGCCCAGGGAGUCAAGGUGGCGUCGGAGAAGCUGGAGUCCUCCUUGUUGGACGACUCCCUCAAGAGGGACGACUCCCUCAAGAGGGACGAGCCCAGCGGAGUCGCCCGCCCUCCGGGGGAGUCGUUCUUCAUGCUGCCUGACGUCGCUCCAUCUCCGCAGGUGCGACCUGGUCGUCGAUGAUGACGACGCUGCUGCUGCUGCUACUACUACUGCAGCUGCUACUGCAGCUGCUGCUGCUGCAGCUGCUGCUGCUGCUGCAGCAACAGCCACCGGCGCUAUCGUCACUGCCAUCAUCACCAGGUGCUCAAGGAGAUGGGUGGCACUGGGCUGCUGUCUGCGCUGUCGGACCCCUCUCUGCCUUCAUCUCUGCUCACCAACGCCAGCCCCCCCGUUCAAGAGCCACGCGCCAGCGGAGGCAGCACCAGCGGUCGCACCAGCAGGGGUGGUGGUACCAGCGAUGGUGGUGGUGGUGAUGAUGAUGGUGGUGGUGGUGGUGCUUCUGGAGCUGGGUCACUCGGGGCUCAUGGCCGCCUGCUCGCCCGUGCCGCCCAUGUAACGUAGUCGCGGCGACGGCGGCGUCUCACACCUUGUUGUUGUUGUGUGUUGUUGUGUGUGUUGUUGUGUGUUGGUGUGUUGUUGUCCUUCCUCCGACGAGCGCAGUUUGGCUUGCUGCGUUACGGCGGUGCGAAAGCCGUUCCACGCGUACACACACCAACAACUACCUACACAACAACAACUACCUACGUACACACCAACAACUACCUACACAACAACAACUACCUACACAACAACAACAACAACAACUACGUACACACCAACAACUACGUAGACACACCAACAACAACUACGUACACACCAACAACAACUACGUACACACCAACAACAACUACGUACACACCAACAACUACGUACACAACAACAACUACGUACACACCAACAACUACAUACACAACAACAACUACGUACACAACAACAACAACAACUACGUACACAACAACAACUAUGUACACACCAACAACUACGUCAACAACAACAACAACAACUACGUACACAACAACAACUACGUACACAACAACAACUACGUACACACCAACAACUACGUACACAACAACAACUACGUACACACCAACAACUACGUACACACACCAACAACUACGUACACAACAACAACAACAACUA